rnacentral:rRNA from 1 species
CGUGUAGGCGGGUGCGUAAGUCCGGUGUGAAUGCCCUCGGCUCAACCGAGGAAUGCCAUUGGAAACUGCGUGCCUUGAGUGCGGGAGGGGAGAGUGGAACUCUUGGUGGAGCGGUGAAAUGCGUAGAUAUCAAGAGGAACGCCAGUGGCGAAAGCGACUCUCUGGCCCGUUACUGACGCUGAGGCGCGAAAGCCAGGGGAGCGAACAGGAGUAGAUACCCUGGUAGUCC